rnacentral:lncRNA from 1 species
AGUUGCACCAUGAGGCCUGACACCAGGAGUCCCACCCUGACAUCCUGGACCAUUCCGGACAGACAGAGUGGGGUCCGGCUGCUCCUGUCUGAGCGGGCAGCAGAACCAGGGUAGAGGCAAGACUGGGAACCCUGUUGCUCUUUGUACUGAGAGAGCGGGUUCCCUACUAGAAAGGGGUGGGAAAUAGAAGUUGGAGGAAUGAAGAAUAGGAGUCCCUUUGCCACCCCCAUCAGAGGCCCCUUCCAUGGACAAUUAGGCUUUAAGUUUGGAGAGCUGCUUCCACAUACAGCAUUUCAGCUCUUUCUCCUGACCCCGGGGGAGGUGGGCAUUAUUGCUGUCCUCCAUC